rnacentral:lncRNA from 1 species
GUAGCUCAAAAGUAUACUCCUAAAGAAUUUAUUUUUUGGUAACUAAGACUGACUAAUUAUAAAUUAUGAUACAUAAAUGGUGCUCUCCAUGAGGCACCUCCUCUUGGUGCUGAAGUUCUAAGUUUGAUCAUGGAGUAUGACCACUCUAUCUCAAAUAAAUAAAUAAAUAGAUAUAAUAUUAAUUUUUGGGAUCAAAAAUAUCAUUUAUUGCUCAUAAUUUUUAUUCGAAGCUUUAUAAUCUUAAUUUUCAAUAGCCAUUAGAUUUUUAGAUGAUUAAUAAUAUUUUAUUUUUAAUUAAUUAUUAUCA